GUGUCAGCCGCCGCGGUAAUACGUAGGGGGCAAGCGUUGUCCGGAAUUACUGGGCGUAAAGCGCGUGUAGGCGGGACGGUUAGUCGGACGUGAAAGGCGCGGGCUCAACCCGCGAAGGCCGUUCGAAACUGCCGUUCUUGAGGGUCGAAGAGGAGAGUGGAAUUCCUGGUGUAGCGGUGAAAUGCGUAGAGAUCAGGAGGAACACCCAUGGCGAAGGCAGCUCUCUGGUCGACAUCUGACGCUGAGACGCGAAAGCGUGGGGAGCGAACGGGAUUAGAAACCCCGGUAGUCC
rnacentral:rRNA from 1 species